rnacentral:rRNA from 1 species
AGAGCGAACGCUGGCGGCAGGCCUAACACAUGCAAGUCGAGCGCCCGUAGCAAUACGGGAGCGGCAGACGGGAUAGUAACACGUGGGAACGCGCCCUUCGGUUCGGAAUAACUCAGGGAAACUUGAGCUAAUACCGGAUACGCCCUUACGGGGAAAGAUUUAUUGCCGAAGGAACGGCCCGCGUCCGAUUAGCUAGUUGGUGAGGUAAUGGCUCACCAAGGCGACGAUCGGUAGCUGGUCUGAGAGGAUGACCAGCAUCACUGGGACUGAGACACGGCCCAGACUCCUACGGGAGGCAGCAGUGGGGAAUAUUGGACAAUGGGCGCAAGCCUGAUCCAGCCAUGCCGCGUGGAUGAUGAAGGCCUUAGGGUUGUAAAGUCCUUUUAACGGGGAAGAUAAUGACGGUACCCGUAGAACUAAGCCCCGGCUAACUUCGUGUCCAGCAGCCGC